GAGUAUGCGCGUGCGCACCGCUUUCGGGAGCUUUUGCACAGAGCUGGUAAUUGGGGGUGCUCGAUUGUAGCGUUGGGGGAGUUCACCGUGUAGCAGGAGAGAGGCAAACUAUCCAGGGUGCUUUGGGACCGGGAGCGUCAUUUAAAUCGAUGGAUGUCAGAGGGGCUUCUCAGAAGGCUCCUCCUAUGUCAUUUGUCAGAGUGAACCGCUGUGGUCCCCGAGUUGGUGUAAGAAAGACACCGAAAGUAAAGAAGAAGAAAACUUCAGUGAAACAAGAAUGGGAUAAUACCGUGACUGAUCUAACCGUUCAUCGGGCAACUCCCGAAGAUCUGGUACGCCGUCAUGAAAUACACAAAUCGAAGAAUAGAGCAUUAGUACACUGGGAACUCCAAGAAAAAGCUUUGAAGAGAAAAUGGAGGAAGCAGAAACCAGAAACUUUAAAUCUUGAGAAAAGAAGAUUGUCUAUCAUGAAGGAGGUAAUGCUAAACUGCAUUAGAGUUAGAAAGAAAAAAAGGAGAUAAAUAGGGUUCUUUGUUUUUCUUCAAUUUGAUUCACGUUGGAGAGACUCUAGUAAUCACUGCAUUCUUAUUCAAUAAUCUACAUGUGGACUUCAAAAAAAGCAACAGAGUGGUGACUGGAGUCUGGUUUGGUGGUUUGAAUUCCUGUUCUACUACUUACCAGCUGUGUGACCCUAAGUAAAUUAUUUAACUUUUCAGCCUGAAUUUUCUCAUAUUUAAAAUUAUUAUUUGCUUGUAUUGCUAUGAGAUUUCAGUGAUAUAAUACUUACAAAGUGAAUAGCACAAUCUUUGCUUAUUCCUCUUUUUGUAUAUAAGCUGCUAUAAUAAUUUUUCUCAGUAAAGUGAUUAGCACAAUCUUUUCUUAUUCCUCUUUUUAUAUAUAAGCUGCUAUAAUUAUUUUUCUCAGUUUAACAGCAGUGCUGUUAGGUUACUUUGAAAAAAAAAUGAUGUUGUAUGCUUGU
rnacentral:lncRNA from 1 species